GUGAUAAAGCUAUAAUUUUUUUCUGUGCUGAAACUUAGAGUGCAUUUGGUUCACGCCAUAAGAGAUUAUCAGAAAGAAGAUGUUUUUAAGAAUUUAAGUUUUGCUUAUUCGAUUAUUAAGAAUUGACAUUUUUAGUAUUUGGUUAGCCCAGUCAUAUUAUUUAAGAUUAUUGAAAAUAUAAAAUUAAUAUGCUUGUUUCAUCAAUUAAUUUUAGAUAAUAUAUCAGUAAUACGAAUACUUUUACCUUUUCAACAAUCAUUAGAAAUUUAUGUUUAGAUUGAAUUGAAAGAGCUUAGUUUAGAGAGAGCCAUUUGAGAUGAAAGUCGGAGAGAGUUGAUAUUAGAGAGAGUGAGAGAGAUUAAGAGAGUUUUUGAUUAGAAAUGUGAAGAGGCAGAGAGAGCGAGAGUUUAGAGAGAAAUUUGAGGUUAGAUGAAGUGGAGGAUAGAGGGGAGAGAGGGAGAGAUGAGGUUAGAGAGAGAGAUGAUACUUUUUUUUUUUUAGAAAGAGGUAGACAAGCUACUUGCUUCAUUCAUUGAGAAAUGAACUAGGUGAACAGUAUGGAAGCAGCUAGGGCUUCCGAGGCGAGUCUAACAGCAAGAAAAAAACAAAAGGCGAAAAAAAGGCGGAAAAAAAUUGAGAAAAAAGGAUUAAAAAGGUGGAGCGCGGAGGGUGUAGUCAGAGUUUCAGUCCAGGACUUCGUAAGGAGAACAGCACG
rnacentral:lncRNA from 1 species